AUAACAAGGUUUCCGUAGGUGAACCUGCGGAAGGAUCAUUACACAUAUAAACUAGAUCUCAGGGGAGGUUCGCCUCUUUCUGAGAUGUAUGUUAUACCCAUGUCUUUUGCGUACUACUUGUUUCCUUGGUAGGCUUGCCUGCCAAUAGGACAAAAUCAAAACCUUUUGUAAUUGCAGUCAGCGUCAGAAAUAACUUUUAAUAGUUACAACUUUCAACAACGGAUCUCUUGGUUCUGGCAUCGAUGAAGAACGCAGCGAAAUGCGAUAAGUAGUGUGAAUUGCAGAAUUCAGUGAAUCAUCGAAUCUUUGAACGCACAUUGCGCCCCUUGGUAUUCCAUGGGGCAUGCCUGUUCGAGCGUCAUUUGUACCCUCAAGCUUUGCUUGGUGUUGGGCGUUUGUCUCGCGUUGCGCGUAGACUCGCCUUAAAGCGAUUGGCAGCCGGCAUAUUGGCCUUGGAGCGCAGCACAUUUUGCGAAUCCAGUCAUUUAUGUUGGCGUCCAUUAAGCCUAUACAUUUUGCUCUUGACCCUCGGCC
rnacentral:rRNA from 1 species